rnacentral:hammerhead_ribozyme from 1 species
AUCCAGCUGACGAGUCCCAAAUUGGACGAAACGCGCGUCCUCGAU